rnacentral:rRNA from 1 species
AUUGAACGCUGGCGGCAUGCCUUACACAUGCAAGUCGAACGGUAACGGGCCUUCGGGUGCCGACGAGUGGCGAACGGGUGAGUAAUACAUCGGAACGUGCCCGAUCGUGGGGGAUAACGAGGCGAAAGCUUUGCUAAUACCGCAUACGAUCUACGGAUGAAAGCAGGGGACCGCAAGGCCUUGCGCGGACGGAGCGGCCGAUGGCAGAUUAGGUAGUUGGUGGGAUAAAAGCUUACCAAGCCGACGAUCUGUAGCUGGUCUGAGAGGAUGAUCAGCCACACUGGGACUGAGACACGGCCCAGACUCCUACGGGAGGCAGCAGUGGGGAAUUUUGGACAAUGGGCGCAAGCCUGAUCCAGCCAUGCCGCGUUCAGGAUGAAGGCCUUCGGGUUGUAAACUGCUUUUGUACGGAACGAAAAGCCUUCUUUUAAUACAGGAGGGUCAUGACGGUACCGUAAGAAUAAGCACCGGCUAACUACGUG